rnacentral:tRNA from 1 species
GGGCCUUUGGUCUAGUUGGUUAUGACACCGCCUUUACAAGGCGGGGAUCCCCUGUUCGAAUCAGGGAAGGCCCA